GGUAGAUCCAAAAGAGAGGAUGGAAGUCGCCAAUUUUGGCGCCCCUUUAAUAAACAAUAAUGAAUACAGUAAUGAGCUUUUGGCCGGGAUGAAUAUUAAGAAGGGCGCUUUUAUUUUCAAGAGCAAUCGAAAGAGCCAGCUAUGGAUGUGAAGAUGAGCGGGCUACGAGACACCUCAAGUAUAUAUUGUAGAUCACACAAUCCACAAUUUCUGCAUUGUAAUGCAAGCAUCCUUUCUCCAGACAUGAGAGAUCGAUAGUUGUAUUCCAGAUCAACAUUCAUUAAUCGAUUAUUAAUCAUUAAACAAGCAAUUAAAGGAUAAUUCAGUUUUUAAAAUAAUUAUUAAUUGAUUUCUAUGAUUAUUAAUCCAUUAAAAAUUGAUUUUUGAUUGAUUGAAAUUUAAGUUUCAUUUGUAAUUGCUGUGUUCUGGUACCUUGCAAAAACCAGUAAAAUUUUUACUUAUGCUUCUUUUUCAUGCGUUUUGAAAUAUAAAUUCAAAGAUCGUA